AGAGUUUGAUCCUGGCUCAGGAUGAACGCUGGCGGCGUGCCUAAUACAUGCAAGUCGAGCGAACGGACGAGAAGCUUGCUUCUCUGAUGUUAGCGGCGGACGGGUGAGUAACACGUGGAUAACCUACCUAUAAGACUGGGAUAACUUCGGGAAACCGGAGCUAAUACCGGAUAAUAUUUUGAACCGCAUGGUUCAAAAGUGAAAGACGGUCUUGCUGUCACUUAUAGAUGGAUCCGCGCUGCAUUAGCUAGUUGGUAAGGUAACGGCUUACCAAGGCAACGAUGCAUAGCCGACCUGAGAGGGUGAUCGGCCACACUGGAACUGAGACACGGUCCAGACUCCUACGGGAGGCAGCAGUAGGGAAUCUUCCGCAAUGGGCGAAAGCCUGACGGAGCAACGCCGCGUGAGUGAUGAAGGUCUUCGGAUCGUAAAACUCUGUUAUUAGGGAAGAACAUAUGUGUAAGUAACUGUGCACAUCUUGACGGUACCUAAUCAGAAAGCCACGGCUAACUACGUGCCAGCAGCCGCGGUAAUACGUAGGUGGCAAGCGUUAUCCGGAAUUAUUGGGCGUAAAGCGCGCGUAGGCGGUUUUUUAAGUCUGAUGUGAAAGCCCACGGCUCAACCGUGGAGGGUCAUUGGAAACUGGAAAACUUGAGUGCAGAAGAGGAAAGUGGAAUUCCAUGUGUAGCGGUGAAAUGCGCAGAGAUAUGGAGGAACACCAGUGGCGAAGGCGACUUUCUGGUCUGUAACUGACGCUGAUGUGCGAAAGCGUGGGGAUCAAACAGGAUUAGAUACCCUGGUAGUCCACGCCGUAAACGAUGAGUGCUAAGUGUUAGGGGGUUUCCGCCCCUUAGUGCUGCAGCUAACGCAUUAAGCACUCCGCCUGGGGAGUACGACCGCAAGGUUGAAACUCAAAGGAAUUGACGGGGACCCGCACAAGCGGUGGAGCAUGUGGUUUAAUUCGAAGCAACGCGAAGAACCUUACCAAAUCUUGACAUCCUUUGACAACUCUAGAGAUAGAGCCUUCCCCUUCGGGGGACAAAGUGACAGGUGGUGCAUGGUUGUCGUCAGCUCGUGUCGUGAGAUGUUGGGUUAAGUCCCGCAACGAGCGCAACCCUUAAGCUUAGUUGCCAUCAUUAAGUUGGGCACUCUAAGUUGACUGCCGGUGACAAACCGGAGGAAGGUGGGGAUGACGUCAAAUCAUCAUGCCCCUUAUGAUUUGGGCUACACACGUGCUACAAUGGACAAUACAAAGGGCAGCGAAACCGCGAGGUCAAGCAAAUCCCAUAAAGUUGUUCUCAGUUCGGAUUGUAGUCUGCAACUCGACUACAUGAAGCUGGAAUCGCUAGUAAUCGUAGAUCAGCAUGCUACGGUGAAUACGUUCCCGGGUCUUGUACACACCGC
rnacentral:rRNA from 1 species